rnacentral:piRNA from 1 species
CAGAACAGAUUUGCCCAUAUUUGUGCUGCAGC